rfam:Gossypium raimondii Chr10_contig_280, whole genome shotgun sequence.
AACAGUUUAAUGUCACUUCAGUAUUUUCAUUCUAAAUUUUAGUAUUUUUAUCUUGAAAAAAAUCAAAUCUAAAUGAAAAUUCUAAAAUUUAAGAUGAAAUUAUUGAGGUGACAUUAAACUAUU